GGAACCGGCGCGUUCAUCUUUUAUUCCAGCCUUUAUUCCAGCCGGCUCCCUCCCUGACCGCGGUGCCAACCCUCAGGCACCGCGAACGCGCGACUGGAAAACAAUGUGACGGAAAUGUUUAAUCUGCUCAGCCCAUCUGUGCCGCGUAUUUCUCCAGAUCUCCCCGAGAGAGGCGCCUUCCGAAUCUCCACAUUGCCUUUAAUAUUCUCCUAAAUCACCUCCCCACCGCACUUCAAGGGCCAUUGCUACAAUAUCACAGAGGGUUCUGGCCCGCUCCGAGCUCCACGUGGAAAAUGGGUGUGGAUGCUCAGAUGCCCCGAAACAACAUCAGCACAGGGUGGGCACAGCACUCCUGGGUGCCCCCAGCCUGGCACAGCCGAGAUGCUCCAGCUCAGCCAAUUAUUUUCGCCUCUGAAGUCCCGCACGCUCCCGCCGGGUGGAGACGAGCGGCCGCCGGAGUUAAAACUCCGCCUGUGACCUGGGAAGGGGGCUCGGGAUAAUCGCGUGUGCCGGGAACCAGCCGGCCCUGACCGCCCGGCAGAGGGGAGCGGGGAUGCGCAGGGGAGCGGAGAGUGCCGAUUCCCUGCUGCAUUUUAUCCAGAGAGCUAAAAUAGCUUUACACGGUAACACACAUCCCCUCCAAAGGUCACCCGAUUAUUUCCCCAAACCCUUGGGAUGGGUUUGGGGCACUGGGGGAGGCAGAGGGAACGAGGGGGAUAAACCCUGGGAUGGGGAGAAGGUGACGGAUCCACAACUUCACCGGGAAUUUGCAAAAACGCCCCGUUUUCUUCCUGCAUUCCCCACCCAGUGCAAAACCCCGAGCCCAGCCAGCCCCAAACUGCUGCCCCAAACUGCUGCUUCCCUCCUUCCUUGGGAUUCAGGCUCCUGAUUAAUGGGUGACCUCAAACCACCCGUCUUUCCCCCGGGAUUGAUGGGAGGGAUGUGGGGAAAGGAUGAGGGACCCCCGGGGGUGAGAGAAGCACCUGAACCGGG